GAUGAACGCUAGCUACAGGCUUAACACAUGCAAGUCGGGGGGCAGCAUUCUUGUAGCAAUACAAGAGAUGGCGACCGGCGCACGGGUGAGUAACACGUAUCCAACCUGCCUUCAACUCGGGGAUAGCCUUUCGAAAGAAAGAUUAAUACCCGAUGGCAUAGCAAUUCCGCAUGGUGUUGCUAUUAAAGAAUUUCGGUUGAAGAUGGGGAUGCGUUCCAUUAGAUUGUUGGCGGGGUAACGGCCCACCAAGUCGACGAUGGAUAGGGGUUCUGAGAGGAAGGUCCCCCACAUUGGAACUGAGACACGGUCCAAACUCCUACGGGAGGCAGCAGUGAGGAAUAUUGGUCAAUGGGCGAGAGCCUGAACCAGCCAAGUAGCGUGAAGGAUGACCGCCCUAUGGGUUGUAAACUUCUUUUGUGUGGGAAUAAAGUGAGCCACGAGUGGCUUUUUGUAUGUACCAUACGAAUAAGGAUCGGCUAACUCCGUGCCAGCCGCCGCCGUAA
rnacentral:rRNA from 1 species